rnacentral:rRNA from 1 species
UACGGAGGGUGCAAGCGUUAUCCGGAUUUACUGGGUUUAAAGGGUGCGUAGGUGGGUCUGUAAGUCAGUGGUGAAAUCUCCGAGCUUAACUCGGAAACUGCCAUUGAUACUAUAGAUCUUGAAUUAUCUGGAGGUAAGCGGAAUAUGUCAUGUAGCGGUGAAAUGCUUAGAUAUGACAUAGAACACCAAUUGCGAAGGCAGCUUACUACGGAUAUAUUGACACUGAGGCACGAAAGCGUGGGGAUCAAACAGG